rnacentral:lncRNA from 1 species
AAUUAAAAAGAAAUAAUAGAAAGAGAAGCCAUUGAUGACGUUUGUUAAAGCUUCAAGCAGCAAUGGACCGACACCAUAACGAACCCAAUCACGAGGAUGAACCUAACAACGCUAAAUUCACUCGACCACUCUCUGGAGAUGGAGCUAGCACUGGGUAAUCUGUGUUUUUUUUCCCAUAGAAAAUAAUCUGUAAAUGUUUAACUUUUAGCUUGAUAACACUGUAAUUGAGGCCUCUAUUUUGUCGGGCAUAUGUGGGAUUUGAAAGUAAAUAAAUUUCUUUUAUAAUUUCUCUGUGUCUUUCACAGGAACCAAUCAGGGAAUUAAAGUCUUUUUUUUAAAAAAAAAAAAAUUAGUUCAAUUGCUCUUAAGUGGUGUUGGGUUCUUUUAUUAAUUGCUUGCUUGAAUUUCAUAGAGGAGAGAGCCCCUUAUAUUAUAUAUAUAAUGAAUGGCAAACUAGUAGGAUUUGGUUUGGCUUGGCUUGGCUUGGCUUAAUAAUUAAGCCCUUUUGCUCUAGUAAUCUUCUUAUUAUAAAAUGGUAAUAAAAAAGAAAAAUAAAAAGAUCCAUUCUGGUAGUCAUAGGAAUGUGCUUAUAUGUUCUUUGAGAUGUUAUAUAUGAACCUUUUGGAAAAGAUUUAGCAGUGAAGUUUGAUUGGAUUUUACUCUUUAACAUGUGUUGCAGAAAGAUUUUCAUUGGAGGUUUAGCAAGAGAGAGACUACUACUGGUUAGUUUCUUCGUCAUGUUCCAAUUCACUAAUGGAGUCCUUUUUUUUUUUUCUAACAAAAAGAGUGUUUAUUCUUUUGGCUAUAUUUGUUUAUGCAGCACAAUUCAUCAAGCAU